rnacentral:rRNA from 1 species
UACGAAGGGGGCUAGCGUUGCUCGGAAUGACUGGGCGUAAAGGGCGCGUAGGCGGUUCGUACAGUCAGACGUGAAAUUCCCGGGCUCAACCUGGGGGCUGCGUUUGAUACGUACGGGCUUGAGUUCGGAAGAGGGUCGUGGAAUUCCCAGUGUAGAGGUGAAAUUCGUAGAUAUUGGGAAGAACACCGGUGGCGAAGGCGGCUACCUGGACCAGCACUGACACUGAGGCACGAAAGCGUGGGGAGCAAACAGG